AGCAGGGUAGAGCAGUGGUGGCUCGUUGGUCUUAUUAGCCAAAGGUCGGAGGUUCAAUUCCUUCUCCUGCAA
rnacentral:tRNA from 1 species